UACGAAGGGGGGCUAGCGUUGUUCGGAUUUACUGGGCGUAAAGCGCACGUAGGCGGAUCGAUCAGUCAGGGGUGAAAUCCCAGAGCUCAACUCUGGAACUGCCUUUGAUACUGUCGAUCUGGAGUAUGGAAGAGGUGAGUGGAAUUCCGAGUGUAGAGGUGAAAUUCGUAGAUAUUCGGAGGAACACCAGUGGCGAAGGCGGCUCACUGGCUCAUUACUGACGCUCAGGCGCGAUAGCGUGGGGAUCAAACAGG
rnacentral:rRNA from 1 species